GAAACGGCCGCAUUAGCGGCCAUUUUUUUAAUUAGAAAUUUAACU
rfam:Serratia proteamaculans 568, complete genome.